AAUUAUGAAACUUCAGAAGAUAAUACUAUGUCUACUAUGAGUGGUCCAAGUAAAUUAAAAGAUAAUGAUAUUUAUAUGACCCCUAAUUAAUCAUUGAAUUCUUCAUUUAAAUCAUCAGAUGAUGAAGUAAAAAUUUUAUUAUCAACUUCUGAAAGCUUACGAAAAAGUAAGAAAGGAGAUACUUUAAUUGAAGUAAUUGGUUAUGUAGACCAAAUUUAUCCCCCAAAAAAUGUAAGUGGGAACAAGCGCGUAUUUAAAUUUAUAAUUAAUAAUAAUGAUGGUAUAAGAAUUCAAGUAAAUGUAUGGAAUAAAGAAGUAGCUAGAGUUGAACCAAUGAUAAUUUUAAAUAAAAUUAUUCAUAUUGAUGGAUGUCGAGCUAAAGAAGCAAAUGAAUAUACUAUAUCAAAAUUUAAAGAGUAUGAAAUUGUGAUAGAGAGUAAUACAAUUGUAAAUGAUUUUGGAGAUUUUAUGAUAGAAGAUCAAUUUGAUUUUACGCAGUUGAAAUUAAUUGAAAUAAGUGAAAUUUCCAAGUACUAUAAAAAAAAAAUAAAAUAACCAAAAUUUUUUAAAGUUCAUGGUUAUCUUAAAACUGUUUUUUUUUGCUGAAGACAAUUAUAAUUACAAUUAUCAAGCGUGUGAGACAGUUACUGACGGUCAAUUUCAAUUAAAUGUUUUAAUUCACACUUUUCAUCAACACUAAUAUAAAAAAGGUGAUCAUAUUGAAUUGUCUGGAUCAUUUAUUG